rnacentral:lncRNA from 10 species
CUAAUGCAUGCUACACACCUCUCAUGUGUCAGGCAUCGUUGUAAACCUUUCAUGCAAAUUACUACAUUUCAUCUUCCCAGCAGCCCUGUGAGGAAGGAGGCACUAGCACAGCAUUUUACAGGAACUGAAGACACAUUUUGUAGAAGUUGAUGGAUUAAGAAAAAGAAGUUGCAUUUUAUUACCUAUCCUAAAGAUAGAAGGUGAUCUGAACAUUCUAAUAUCACUUGCCAAGACUGUUGGAGCAUGGGGAAGAGAGGUUCCUCGCAUGACUGACAGCUUAGAAGCCAGAGGUCAAGGGAGCCUAUCGAUCAAUGCACUCCACGCAAAUAUGUCCCAGGAGCAGGAUAGAACAAGAGAGAGAGAGGUUCAGGAAACAUCUGAAGGGGAAUGGGCAAGUGAUGCCUGAACGGUACUGGCAGAAGAUAAAUGGUAUGUUAUUUUAAGCCAAUAGAAAGCUUAAUCCCAUGAGGGAAACUCUGGGAAAUGUACACCAUAUGAGUCAGAAUUACUCCAAGAAUGAGGGAGCUAGGACACUUAGCUUCCUGAACCAUUGGGUGUGAUCUGCCCCUGUAGGCAAAGGGCCUUCCUAGGAUCUAGAAAAAAAGACUCCAGGCAGCUAGAUGUAGAUACUGGCCAUUGGAUGUUUGUCAAAGCAAAAGAAAGAUCUGAAGGGUAAGGGAAGGACAUUGUUGGUGUCUAUACUUUUGGCCAAUAUGCCACAAGUACAAAUGCACCAGUUACAGUGUUAAGCAUGACUGCUUGAAUUUACAACCAGCUUUUGAGGAUAUGGAUAUGGAAGGUGUUCUUAAAAGUCCCAUCUUAUUGUCGUGACAGCAAAGAUCAUUAUAUAAGUCUGUUAUUAUUUCAGGCAAUUAAAAAACUGUCUCGUAAUUAUUUGAGUCACAUUUCUUUUUAAUAUUUUUGACAGUCUGUAAUUUUAGAAUAACACUCUCAAAUACAUCAUUUGCCAUAUUUUAACACAUUGGAGUUACAUAAUCUGUGUAUCAGUGUACCAGAGUGAAUUUGGUUUUGUGAAGACCUCAGAAGAAAAGCUUACCUGCAAUCUCCAUGUCUAAACUUGAAUAGAUUAAAAUGUUCCCUUGAUUAGGAAAUGUGUAGCUCUGCUGUGUUUAUAUUUGUUUGUUUUAAAUCCAGGCUCAUGAAUGCCUACUUGUGUAAAACUGUACAAUUGAGUGCACUUCUGUAUUAGGACUUCUCUGUGCUCAGCUCAAUCCCAGAUAGGGCUGAGGAGCAUGCCUGAGACUCAUGCCAUCACCCUCAUGAGACAGCACAUAAAUGUAUUAUGUGUUUCAUCAUGUCUCAUAAGACUAAAGUUUGUUUAACACUUAUUUUUUUACAUGCUUAAAUGUUUGUGUUUGGACUUCUAAGUUAUGAUAGUGAGUUUUGAUUGAUUCUUUUUCCUAUUGUUGCAUUUUAAGAAUGUGUUUUUCCAGGUGAGUUGAAAAUCUUACCAUUGUUUAAUUACUCAGCUAAUAUUUGUUGAGUGCAUACUAUGUGGAGGAAACUGGUCUAGUGCUUGGGAUUCCUCAUUGAACAAAAGUGAUAAACAUCCCUGACCUGCUGCUUACAUUUAAGCAAGGAGGGUGAGUCAAUAAAUCAUGAAUACAUAUAAUACAUUAGAAGGUAAUAUAUGCUGUAGAAAAGUGAUGACAUAAAGCAGAAAAUAUUGGAAAUGCUAGCAUCAGGGAGCAGGGUGUAGUAUUAAAAGGUCAGAGUGGGUCUCAUUGCAAAGGGUAGAUUUGAGCAAAGGCAUCAGAGGUAUAAAGAAAUUAGGCAUAUGAACAUAGGAGGUAAAAACAUUUUAGGCAGAUGUAAUAAAUAAUUUCAAAACUGAAAGACAGUCUUGUAUCUUUAAAAAGUGUUUAUCUUCUGGUCAAAAGGCUCAUUGUAGCUGUUUUGUUGAGGGGAACUGUGGGAAAGUGUGGCUGGAACCAGGGAAAUCAGUUAAGAAGUAGUUCUAUUCAUCCAAGAAAGAGAUACUGAGAACUUGAGUUAAUUUAAAAUGAAUACUGUUUGCUAGGGAAAAAAAGAAAUUCUAAAGAAAAAUUUGCCCGUGGGCCAAUUAAGUUGAUCAGGCUUAAUAUGAAAUAAGCAUAAUGGCAUCUGUUCAUUUUCAGCUCACGGUGACCAGUUUAAUUGGGGUUUCUAAAAUGACAAGAGAGAUUCAAAUGCCUCAGCUGGCUUCCAAGUCAAGAAAGUGUAAUGGUGGCUGUUUCUCAUUAUGGUUCUCUUUUUAAGGUGAUAAAAGUCACCUAAUUAGUUUGACUUAAAUAAAGGAUUUUACAAACUGACAGACUUCGUUUUGAAACAAAUUAAUUGAGUGUACAAAAUGACUCUGCUCUUACCUAGUUUUUCAAGCUGAGAACCAAACUGCUAACAUGUAUGGGAAUAUAGCACUUUGCUGGGUUUUUUAUUUUAAUUUACAUUUUUUGAGUCUUUUUUGCUAUUGUUGCUGUUUUGAUAUGUGCCCAACUUGAUAGUGUAUGCUGUGGAAAGGCUAGGAAACAUUUCAACCCACUAAGUCCCUCAUCAAUGGGAAGGAGCACUUUGUAUUGUACAACAGAAAAUAAAUUCUGCUUAUCACCUGCUAUGGGAUAUUUAUAAAAAUUUACUAAGGAUCAAUUCACAGAGAAGUUCCUAAUGCAUUCUAAGAAGAAUUCUAUCAAAAUGUAAAAGUAAACCUAAAAACUUCAACUAGAUAAAAACACAUCUAAAUAAUUAUUGAAUUUAAUCUGAAAUCGUCUCAGUGAUUUACAGAAGGUUGAUAAUGUUCACCAAAUAGUAUGUAGAAGAAUAAGCAUAAAAGUUUUCCUACUAAAAGGCAAUAAAAAUAAAUGUUAAAAUAUUGAAUCAAGGCAUUAUAUUCAAAGACAAAAUAAAACCUAUUUAAAAUAAGACAAAAAAGAGAAACAAGUUUUAUAAAUAAAAAAUAUUAUUCAAAAACAAAACCCAAAAUCCCAUAGCAAAUUUUUAGCAGAAAAAAGAAGCACAUACUGAAGCUCAUACAUCACCAAAUAGCCUGACUAAAAAAAAAAAAAGUAAAAUAAAAUAAAUAAAUAAUGAAGGGUGGGUGGGUGUGUGUGUGAAAAUACAUAACAAAUUACAAAUUAUAACUAAAAAGGAAUUCUAAUAACAAAUACUGAUGAAUUUAAUAACUAUUUAGACAUGUACUUUAUAAUUAAGCUAAUAUUUUUCAAAAUCUGGAUGACAUGGAUGAUUUUCUAAGCACUAUAGAAAUUUUUUUUGAUAAAAAUCCUGAAGCAGCCAGUAAUUAUGAAAGUAAUUAAGAAAGUUGCCAAGUAACUAAUCUUCUAGUCCCCAAAGUUCCAAGCCCAUAUAAUUUCAUGGAAAAAAUGUCAUAUUCUAUUCAAAAUAAUUCACAAAUAUUCAGAAAGAACUUGCCAAAAUUCUUUUAUAGGAGAUAGCAUAGCACUUAUUCCCAGCCUUGAUAAUAAUAAAACCAGAGCAGUAUCAUCUGUGCCUAUAGCCAGAUAAUCCAUCAAAACAAAAAAAUAGUAAUAAAUAAGUGUAAAAGAUGAGUCCAACCGUAAUAUAUUAUCCAAAUCACCACACUUUAUUGAAGUAUAUAAAAUAAGAAUUGAGUAAAUGGAGAGACAAAUCUUAUCUUUCUAUGGGAAUCCUCACUAUAUUAAAGAUGUUUGUCCUUGUUAAAUGAACUUAUAUUUUAUUAUAAAGUAGAGUAAUUUUAGAAAAUUACCCUAAAUUACUAUGUGACUUCUUAUAACUACAAAGGGAUGAGAAUUGUCAGAAAAUAUUAGAAGAAAAGAAGACUAAUGGAUAGAGACUGACUUUAAAAGAUCAAAAUAUAUUAUAAAACCACAAUAAAUGCUUUUGGUGCCAUAAUAAAUAGGUGAAUCAACGAAUCAGGAUUGAAAAUGAAAAUACAGAUAAUUAAAUUUAUAUUUCUGUCAACUUUGCCAUAUAAAAUAGAUAACAUUUAAAAUUUGUGGUUAAAGAAAUGGUGACAGGACUGUCAGCCUGGUAUUUUUGGGGGUAAAUACAAUUAAAUUACUACUUUAUAUAUCACUACAAAAUAUAUUUUAAAUUGAAAUAGAUUAAAUAUAUAAUCAAAACUUAAACAUAUUAGAAAAUAUUCAGAUAACUAAUGAAAGAUCUUUAGCUUCUAAUCUAUGUGGGGAAAGACUAAUAGGUUUUGCAACAUUAAAAUAAAAAUUUCCACAUGAAGAAUAAAUAUACAAAGUAAAUUUAAAACAUAUAACAAUCCUGGAAAACAUAUUUGCUACAUAUUUAAUAGAGAAUUCAUAUUUUACACUAAUAGUUGCAAUAAUUUUUCCCCUAAUCCUCCCCACAUCCUUGGAGCAGACUUUCCUAAUCAGUGUACUCUGCAGCUCUGUUGUGUCAUGAUGAGUUUGCCAGUAGACUGUGAUGUUGAUUUCCUAGGACACUGAGCAGGGUCUGAAGUAGCGAACUGCAAACAGUUUCAUAUUUUACCCUCGUAGAUCAUAUUAUAAUUUCUUUGUGUGCCAUUAUGUGAAAAAGAGUAAGGAAUACUGCAGGAUUAGAAAAUACUGCUCACAGCCUGUCAUUUAUAGCUCUAAGAAACAUAUGAUUUCAUCCCCUUGACCACAGACGACUGAGUUUGUGUCAGCUUCUGAAUCAAGCUGAGCCAAAAUCAUAUUCUCUUUUUGUGGAAAUUUGGAAUUGAGAAUUAGAGAUUAAGCCAAGCAAAAAACUUCAAGGACUCACAAGCUGUAGGACCAUUCAGAAUUGAAGCCAAAAUUUAUAUCUUGGCAACCCUAACCAUACAAGAGAUGAAGAUUUGGUUUGUAGUGCAGUAUUCUGGAGCCAGACUGCCUAGUUUUGAAUCUCAUCUCUACCACUUAUGACUGGUAUAACCUUAAAUAAAAUACUUAAUUCCUCAUUUUCCUCAUCUUUGGGGAUCCUGAUAGUUCCUACCUCAAAGGACAGUUGUGAGGAUUAAAUAAAUUGCUUUAUGAAAAGAAUGUAAAUGUGCCUAGCAACGCUUUUUUUUUUUUUUUUUUUUUUAGCGGAGUCUCCCUCUGUCGCCCAGGCUGGAGUGCAGUGACGCAAUCUCGGCUCACUGCAAGCUCCGCCUCCCGGGUUCACGCCAUUCUCCUGCCUCAGCCUCCCGAGUAGCUGGGACUACUGGCGCCCGCCAUCACGCCGGGCUAAUUUUUUUUGUAUUUUUAGUAGAGACGAGGUUUCACUGUGUUAGCCAGGAUGGUCUCGAUCUCCUGACCUCGUGAUCCGCCCGCCUCGGCCUCCCAAAGUGCUGGGAUUACAGGUGUGAGUCACCGCGCCCGGCCGCCUAGCAACACUUUUAACCAUGAUAUAAGUAUUCCUACUAUAAUGUUGUUAUUAUUAUCAUUGUAGGUGGAGGAACAAAAACUUGCCAAGAAAAUUAAUCUUCAGAGAAAAAACAUGGAAAGACAUACACAAAAAGUGAUUCUUACACUGUGAGAGAGAGGCUUCUUGAAGUCUUGUAAGCUCUGAUAUGUGGCCAGUGAAGAAAUAGGAUAAUGCAUGGAAUGUAUCAUUAUAAUAACAACUUCUCUUUUUCUACCAUCUACAGAAAACCUCUUUGAACCAAAUUGAAUAGAAUUUCUAUUUCUUGCAUUGGAGAAAGCUGGUAAUUUUACAAAUCAAUUUUAAAAAGAUGAGCCCUCUGCCCACCCCAAAUGUACGUGCUCAGCAAAAGGAGGACAAUAUGUAUACAGGUUAAUAAUAUUUAAUAAAAGCAAUGAGAAAUAAAAAUGCCAUCUUACUUUUUAAAUAUCAAUUUGGAAAACAAUCUACAGACUAACACUUAAUGUUGAUUAGGGGAUAGGGAAAUUAGCCCACUCAUAUGACGUUUUCUCACCAGAUAAUUCCACUUGUGAGGAAUCACUCCGGAGAAAUAAGAUGCUCAGAAGAGGCUAAAUGAGAAUAGUCACUAUGGUAUCAUUUAUAAAAUAAAACAACAAAUUGAAUAUUAAAAGCCAUUGAAUUAAAAAAUUGUGAUGUAUUCGGUGAAUAUUUUGCAGCUUUAAAUAUGAUACUCUGAUUUGUAAAUAAUUUAGUAUACUUUCAAAGGCAAACCUGAUCUUAUAAGACCCUAUGAAAAAUAGAUUUAUCUAAAUUGUCUGUGAAUACAUAUGUGCAAACACACACACACAUAAAUGAGUACACAUGCAUACAUAUGAUUAUCAAAUAUAUAUUUAAACAUAUACAUAUCUACAUAUACAUACAUAUAUGUGGGUAUGUGGGUGUUUGCACAUUAUGUGUAUUGACAUAGAGAAUAAUUUUGUAAAAGCAUAUACCAGGGGUUGGUAAACUACUUCUUUUAGUCCAAAUCCAUCCCACUACCUGAUUUUGCAAAUAUUGGAACACAGUCAUAUUCAUUUGUUUAUGUAUUAUCUUCAGUUGCUUUCAUGCUACAGUAGCAAAGUUAAGUUGUUGAGACAGAGAUUACAUGCCUGCAAAACAGUAAAAUAUUUACUAUCUGGCCCUUUGGCAAACAGAAAAUGUUUGCCAACCGGUAUUAUAAACCACAAUAUUGUGACUAUGGGGAUGGGAUUUCAAAUGAUUAAAUACUUUUCUUUUUUCUUAGGUAUAACACAAUUUAUACGUAGAUCGUUUUCUUGGGUAAUAACUUUUAAAAAUGAAGAAUAAUAACUAGCUAUCAUUCAUUUAGAAUGAGAAAGACUCCUAUAAUUUAAUUUUUACAAAACCGAAAAAAUUUCUACUUGGUUUUAUGCAUAUACUAAUUCACAAUGAAAAUGUGUUUUGGAGUUUUACAACCAUAUGUGUCAUGUGAACAGCUACAGCAGCAACAACAAAACUUUGUAGUUCUAGCUUCAUAUGUUUAAUAGAAGUAGCAUUUGCAAAGAAUUCAUGGAGAUGUUGUGUUUUUGAGGAACAGAACAUAUAUUAUCUCAGUUUUAUUUAAAAAUAUUUUUGUUUUCAGGCUGCCCUAUUUGGAUUGUCUUAAUGCUUGUGAUAGAGAGUUGCCUCUGAGGUCAAGACGUUUUUGAGGUUGCUAUCUAUAGAAGAUUUCCUUUUGAAGAGAUUAGGAUUUUAUGCAGACACCAAAAGAUCUGAGAUGGCAACUUGAAGAGUUUUAUAUUAUAGCAUUGCCUGGCAAGAGAAAAUAGAUGCUAGCCAAGAAUAGCAUCUGGUUGAUUUGGGCUAGAUUAUGCUUGUUAGUUACAUCAAUUACUCUUGUUCCAAAUCCUUUCUAAGUGGUCAUGCUGUCUUUUCUUAAAUUCCUAAAGGAGGCUCUCCAAUGGGAAGAAGAUGGACUGAUAGCCUAAUGUUCCAUGUGGUUAUUAUAUUCUUCAUUAUGAACAAUGGUAGUCAGAUUGCAGUAAUCUCAUCUGACAAGUGGACUGAUGGCCAGUGCAUUUCUUCCUUCAAACUUUCAUUGUGGGUCAAAUGUGGAUAAAAGUGUUUGAAAUUGACUCAUAUCCUCCAAUUACUCCCUCCAUCAUGGGACUAGAUGAGCAACCUGAGACAGGUCCAUCCUGGUACUAAAGAAAUGAAAACUUUACUACAGGGUCAUUGGUCAGUGAUGCUUUCAGGGAAAGAUUUUUAUCAAAAGGGGGAAAUGUGAAAGUUGUCAGAAUCAAAAUGGAGUCACUUGUGUUAACAACAACAGCAACCCUGACAAAGAGUAAGAAAAGAUCAUGAAGAGAGGGUUCUCAUGCAUAAGCACCUAAUAACAGGAACUAUCACAAAAAACUCUACCAAAACCACAACGUUGCACAAAGACAACUGCAAUUUUACACAAAAAAACAUACGACUGCGAGGAAGCCGGGCAUGGUUUUUCAUACCGUAGACUUUGGGAAGCUGAGGUGGGAAGAUCACUUGAGCCCAGGAGUUUGAGACCAGCCUGGGCAACAAAAUGAGAACCUGUCUCAAAAAAAAAAAAAAAAGAAAAACUUUUGUGAGGACAUCUGUCCGGCAACUGUCUUUACAGCUUCAAACUGGCAUUACUCUUGUUAUUGACCCUUAUAGCCAAGGAUAUUUAUCUCAAAAUAAUUAUUUAAUUCUUCUAUUUUUUUGUCUUCCUUUAUCUCCCUGAAUAUGCACAUAGUUUAUUAUGGCACAUGUGUUCUCAUUGCAAUGACCUAUUCUUGAAUAAAUAUUCUUUUCUUUUAGAGACCCUGUCUCUCUUAUUAAGGUUAACAUUUCUAACUGCUUAAUACCUAAAACUGCUAGGUAUUUCUUUUGACCUAAGAUUUACAUGAAGCAAUUAGUGAGGCACUAAAGGGCACCAUGAAACAAGAAAGACUGGGGAUAUCUGCACGUCAGCAUUACAUUAACAGUCUCAUUUAUGCCUUUUUCUUUGGUGUAAACUUGUCUAG